AGGGCAAAGUCAAACACAGGCACCUCCCACCCCUGGGAACUUUGGCCCCAGCCCUGAGAUCAGCUCAGACAGAAGACAGUGAGGCACGGUGCACAGCCCGGCAGGAAAGCAGCUGGGUCCUGAGGCUGGUGCAGACAGAACAGCCCAGCCAUUUCCUGCCCUGUGAGCUGGGUGAGCGGACACCAGUCAGUGAGAACCAACAUGAAUGGCAGCCGUCACCGGUCAGUAGGUACUGUCAGGGAACCCUAACGAAGAUAAGCAGCCUGAGGCAAGCUAAAAGACCAAGAACUGGAAAGUCUGCGUGUCUCCAUCCCUUGGUGAUAAGGCAGAGAGUGCUUUGCUGUAAGUGUCGUGGCGGGUGCAUAUAGCAUGCAAAUGAAAAGGAAAAGGACCCUGGAAAAAGGCCUCUGAAAAGGGUGGCACGUAGGGAUGGAUGAAGGGGUCGCAGUCAACCCCCCCCCCCAGUUGGAAUAUAGUUUUUCCUUCCAAGGAGAAAAUGUAUGUGUAUUCUUUAUAACUUUUUAAGAGAUCCAACACACAUGGGGCAGCUGGGUGCCUCAGUCCGUUAGGCGUCAGACUCUUAGUUUCCACUCAGGUCAUGAUCUCAAGGUCCUGAGAUCGAGUCCCACACAGCGCAGAGUCAGCUUGUGAUUCUCUGCCUUUCCCUCUCCCUCCCCCUCUGCCCCUCUUCCACGCUCACAUAUUCAUUCUCUCUAGAAUGAAUAAAUACCUGAAAUAAAUAGGGAUGCCUGGGUGGCUCAAUCGGUUAAGGCUCCGGCUCUUGA